rnacentral:rRNA from 1 species
ACCCCUACGGGACGCAGCAGUGGGGAAUAUUGGGCAAUGGGCGCAAGCCUGACCCAGCAACGCCGCGUGAAGGAAGAAGGCUUUCGGGUUGUAAACUUCUUUUAUGAGGGACGAAACAAAUGACGGUACCUCAUGAAUAAGCCACGGCUAACUACGUGCCAGCAGCCGCGGUAAUACGUAGGUGGCAAGCGUUAUCCGGAUUUACUGGGUGUAAAGGGUGCGUAGGCGGCCUUGCAAGUCAGAAGUGAAAUCCAUGGGCUUAACCCGUGACCUGCUUUUGAACCUGUAGGGCUUGAGUGAAGUAG